CAAUCGGGCUCAAAGUGCUAGCACACAAACAGACAAUUAGUUGGGAAGAUAAACAAACAUAGAGAAAAAAAGAAGAUGUUAUUCACAGUAACUUCACAAUCCACUUUAUUUAUUAACCAAGACAAUCAAUUGAGUGGUUGUUUAAAAAUAAAUGGAGAAUCAAAUGUUGAAAAAGGAAGAGAUGAUUGAAGAGAGCACUGAUGAUUGUACUUCAAAAGAUGAAGGUACAAAUUGGCUUGCUUGGGAUACUCUCAUGCCCGGAAGGUUGAGGAAUGCAAGAAGUUCUUCCAAAAACAUUGUCUAAAUUUGUUUACCUCUUAGGAACAUAUCUCAAGCCAAAUGUGGCUAUUUUGGAUGGUGUCACAAUGGGAAGUGGGGCAGGUUUAUUCCAAUCCCGAGGCUGAAAUUGGUUUCCAUCCCGAUGCAGGGUCUCGCCUUCCUGGCUACUUAG